rnacentral:lncRNA from 1 species
UGUUCCCAGGACGCGAGCUAAGUCUGCCCGGCCGGCGCGCGCCGCUUCCGCUUUGGUGGGAAGGACCUCCCUUCCCCCUUAUAGAAACACUUUCUCCAGGCCGGGCCGGGCUUGGUAAACCUCAGCCGUGCCUGGGUAGAGGACGCCGGGCUGGGCCGAGCGGGGGUGGAAUGAGGGCGUCUAGAACAGAGAAAACUAAGAUGGGGUCGUCCCCCCAGUAAUCUGGAAAACAGUUACAGCAACAGGCUCCUCUCAUCAGACGGCAGUGCUGGUCGUUUCCUCACUGGUUUGCGGGGAAGGCUGGGCAGAAAAAGGAUGCAACCUUGUUCUCAACCACUUGCUAUCUCGUGAUUCAGGGAUUGGAUGAGUCUCUAUGGUUUGUUUUGCCCUGAAGAGCAGAAGGCUUCUGUCCCA